rnacentral:rRNA from 1 species
CGAACCUUCGGGUUAGUGGCGGACGGGUGAGUAACGCGUGAGAAUCUGCCCUCAGGAGGGGGAUAACAGUUGGAAACGACUGCUAAUACCCCAUAUGCCGAAAGGUAAAACUAAUUUCGCCUGGGGAUGAGCUCGCGUCUGAUUAGCUUGUUGGUGGGGUAACGGCCUACCAAGGCUUCGAUCAGUAGCUGGUCUGAGAGGACGAUCAGCCACACUGGGACUGAGACACGGCCCAGACUCCUACGGGAGGCAGCAGUGGAGAAUUUUCCGCAGUGGGCGCAAGCCUGACGGAGCAACGCCGCGUGAGGGAUGAAGGCCUUUGGGCUGUAAACCUCUUUUCUCAAGGAAGAAGAUCUGACGGUACUUGAGGAAUAAGCCACGGCUAAUUCCGUGCCAGCAGCCGCGGUAAUACGGGAGUGGCAAGCGUUAUCCGGAAUUAUUGGGCGUAAAGCGUCCGCAGGCGGCCGUUUAAGUCUGUUGUUAAAUCGUAGAGCUCAACUCUAUCACGGCAAUGGAAACUGUUCGGCUUGAGUAUGGUAGGGGCAGAGGGAAUUUCCGGUGUAGCGGUGAAAUGCGUAGAUAUCGGGAAGAACACCAGUGGCAAAAGCGCUCUGCUGGGCCAUUACUGACGCUCAUGGACGAAAGCCAGGGGAGCGAAAGGGAUUAGAUACCCCUGUAGUCCUGGCCGUAAACGAUGAACACUAGAUAUUGGGGGAAUCGACCCCUUCGGUGUCGUAGCUAACGCGUUAAGUGUUCCGCCUGGGGAGUACGCACGCAAGUGUGAAACUCAAAGGAAUUGACGGGGGCCCGCACAAGCGGUGGAGUAUGUGGUUU